GCCACGACAGCUGACUGUUUCCGUGCAUUCUCCAGCAGGAAUGUUUCCCAUGCUGCGACUGCUGUGUGUGCUGCUGCUCCAUGUAACAGCUCUUAUUUUGGUUUCUGGGUGAGCCACAGCAUUGGAAUGCCUCUCUGUGAUUCAUCUUCGGAGGUGGGACCACCCUGUAUGUUCGCAAUCAAAUAGACAUGGGGUCAGCGACGCUGUCCUGUCUGGUGAGUCACUUUAAGCCGGGCUUUGUGCAGGUCCUAUGGAGCGUGGAUGGGAAGGAAACAGACAGUGGGAUGACAACAAGUGCUGUAUCCCUGGACAGUGAUCAAAGCUACAGCCUGAGCAGUUACCUGACAGUCUCAGCCACCGACUGGAAGAAAGGGUCCAGGUAUUCCUGCAGUGUGAGGCACGGUUCACUUAACUCGCCUCUCCUCAACACCAUCAGUUCUAGUGACUGUUAGUCUGAGGAAAAUAAUGAUUCAGAUCAGUCGCUGUGAGACAUUCCGCAUUUUGUUGUUUGUUUUAGUUUUGCCAUGUAAUUUCUGCAGCAAUGUCAUUAUUUAGUGAAUAAUCUGACUAUUGAAGGGUAUCAGGAGCGGGUGAAAUGAUUAUUCCAUUUGGUGUGUGGAGAUUUCCUGUUGCAAUUGUCCCCAGAAGUUUGUGUGUAAACUUUAAUUCUGGGUAGAAUAGGGAGUACUCUCCCCUCUUUAGACAUUUACCAUUUUGCAUUUGUGAACGUUGUAACCACAGCUCUGAAUAAAUAUGAAAUGAUACC